UUCCGGUUGAUCCCGCCGGACCUGACUGCUAUCGGAUUGAUACUAAGCCAUGCGAGUUUUUGUAGCAAUACAAGGCAGACGGCUCAGUAACACGUAGUCAAUCUAACCUAUGGACGAGGAUAACCUCGGGAAACUGAGAAUAAUACUCGAUAGAUCAUUAUGCCUGGAACGGUUUAUGGUUCAAAUGAAUUUCGCCAUAGGAUGGGACUGCGGUCUAUCAGCUUGCUGGUGAGGUAAUGGCCCACCAAGGCUAUUACAGAUACGGGCUCUGAGAGGAGAAGCCCGGAGAUGGGUACUGAGACACGGACCCAGGCCCUAUGGGGCGCAGCAGGCGAGAAAACUUUGCAAUGUGCGAAAGCACGACAAGGUUAAUCCGAGUGAUUCCUGCUAAAGGAAUCUUUUGUUUGUCAUAAAACCACUAAUGAAUAAGGGGUGGGCAAGUUCUGGUGUCAGCCGCCGCGGUAAAACCAGCACCUCAAGUGGUCAGGAUGAUUAUUGGGCCUAAAGCAUCCGUAGCCGGCUCUGCAAGUUUUCGGUUAAAUCCAUGUGCUCAACAUAUGGGCUGCCGGGAAUACUGCAAAGCUAGGGAGUGGGAGAGGUAGACGGUACUCCGUAGGAAGGGGUAAAAUCCUUUGAUCUAUGGAUGACCACCUGUGGCGAAGGCGGUCUACCAGAACAUGUUCGACGGUGAGGGAUGAAAGCUGGGGGAGCAAACCGGAUUAGAUACCCGGGUAGUCCCAGCUGUAAACUAUGCAAACUCAGUGAUGCAUUGGCUUGUGGCCAGUGCAGUGCCGCAGAGAAGUCGUUAAGUUUGCCGCCUGGGAAGUACGUACGCAAGUAUGAAACUUAAAGGAAUUGGCGGGGGAGCACCACAAGGGGUGAAGCCUGCGGUUCAAUUGGAUUCAACGCCGG
rnacentral:rRNA from 1 species